CUUCCUCCAUCUUGAGUUUUCUGAGAGUGUCUCAGAUCUAAAACUCUUUUUUCUACUUUUUAUCUUUGGAAGAGUCCAAAUCAAGAAGAAGGAGGCACCUGAUCAACCAUCGAAGAAGGAUCAGCGCAGUACUAGCAUACUGUGCUGAUUUUCUGGAGCAAAACUUCUAAUCGAGAUUCGUGGGCUUGUAUGGAUGACUCCGAGAGGUCAGAUGCAUGUGCGGCUUACAACAUUAUCCUCAAGCCCAGAUUAGCAAGGUUAGAACGUCUAACUUGCAAGGUAAUAGAUCUGAUCUA
rnacentral:lncRNA from 1 species